rnacentral:rRNA from 2 species
UACGUAGGGGGCAAGCGUUAUCCGGAUUUACUGGGCGUAAAGAGCGCGUAGGCGGUUCCGUAAGUUGGUUGUGAAAGUUCGAGGCUCAACCUCGAAACUGCGUCCAAUACUGCGGGGCUGGAGUGCAAGAGAGGCAAGUGGAAUUUGCGGUGUAGUAGUGAAAUGCGUAGAUAUCGCAAGGAACACCAGUGGCGAAGGCGGCUUGCUAGCUUGUAACUGACGCUGAGGCGCGAAAGCUAGGGGAGCGAACGGG